UACGAAGGGAGCUAGCGUUGUUCGGAAUCACUGGGCGUAAAGCGCACGUAGGCGGGUGUCAGUCGGGGGUGAAAUCCCGGAGCUCAACUUCGGAACUGCCUUUGAUACAGCACGUCUUGAGUCCGAUAGAGGUGGGUGGAAUUCCUAGUGUAGAGGUGAAAUUCGUAGAUAUUAGGAAGAACACCGGUGGCGAAGGCGGCCCACUGGAUCGGUACUGACGCUGAGGUGCGAAAGCGUGGGGAGCAAACAGG
rnacentral:rRNA from 1 species